CCCUUAGAUGUUCUGGGCCGCACGCGCGCUACACUGACGGAGCCAACGAGUAUUUUCCUUGUCCGGAAGGACUGGGUAAUCUUGUGAAACUUUGUCGUGCUGGGGAUAGAGCAUUGUAAUUAUUGCUCUUCAACGAGGAAUUCCUAGUAAGCGUGAGUCAUCAGCUCGCGUUGAUUACGUCCCUGCCCUUUGUACACACCGCCCGUCGCUACUACCGAUUGAAUGGUUUAGUGAGAUCUCUGGAUUGACGCUGGCUAGGGGGCGACCCUUGGCCAGGCUGUCGAGAAACUGCUCAAACUUGAUCAUUUAGAGGAAGUAAAAGUCGUAACA
rnacentral:rRNA from 1 species